GCGGUAGCACAGGGGAGCUUGCUCCCUGGGUGACGAGCGGCGGACGGGUGAGUAAUGUCUGGGAAACUGCCUGAUGGAGGGGGAUAACUACUGGAAACGGUAGCUAAUACCGCAUAACGUCGCAAGACCAAAGAGGGGGACCUUCGGGCCUCUUGCCGUCAGAUGUGCCCAGAUGGGAUUAGCUAGUAGGUGGGGUAAUGGCUCACCUAGGCGACGAUCCCUAGCUGGUCUGAGAGGAUGACCAGCCACACUGGAACUGAGACACGGUCCAGACUCCUACGGGAGGCAGCAGUGGGGAAUAUUGCACAAUGGGCGCAAGCCUGAUGCAGCCAUGCCGCGUGUGUGAAGAAGGCCUUCGGGUUGUAAAGCACUUUCAGCGAGGAGGAAGGUGGUGAACUUAAUACGUUCAUCAAUUGACGUUACUCGCAGAAGAAGCACCGGCUAACUCCGUGCCAGCAGCCGCGGUAAUACGGAGGGUGCAAGCGUUAAUCGGAAUUACUGGGCGUAAAGCGCACGCAGGCGGUUUGUUAAGUCAGAUGUGAAAUCCCCGGGCUCAACCUGGGAACUGCAUUUGAAACUGGCAAGCUAGAGUCUCGUAGAGGGGGGUAGAAUUCCAGGUGUAGCGGUGAAAUGCGUAGAGAUCUGGAGGAAUACCGGUGGCGAAGGCGGCCCCCUGGACGAAGACUGACGCUCAGGUGCGAAAGCGUGGGGAGUAAACAGGAUUAGAUACCCUGGUAGUCCACGCUGUAAACGAUGUCGAUUUGGAGGUUGUGCCCUUGAGGCGUGGCUUCCGGAGCUAACGCGUUAAAUCGACCGCCUGGGGAGUACGGCCGCAAGGUUAAAACUCAAAUGAAUUGACGGGGGCCCGCACAAGCGGUGGAGCAUGUGGUUUAAUUCGAU
rnacentral:rRNA from 1 species